rnacentral:rRNA from 1 species
UACGGAGGGUGCAAGCGUUUUUCGGAAUUACUGGGCGUAAAGGGCGCGUAGGCGGUGCAGUAAGUCAGAUGUGAAAGCCCUGGGCUCAACCCAGGAAGUGCAUUUGAAACUGCUGUACUUGAGUAUGGGAGAGGAGAGUGGAAUUCCCAGUGUAGAGGUGAAAUUCGUAGAUAUUGGGAGGAACACCCGUGGCGAAGGCGACUCUCUGGACCAAUACUGACGCUGAGGCGCGAAAGCGUGGGGAGCAAACAGG